rnacentral:rRNA from 1 species
UAAGGAAUAUUGGUCAAUGGACGCAAGUCUGAACCAGCCAUGCCGCGUGAAGGAUGAAGGCCCUCUGGGUUGUAAACUUCUUUUAUCUGGGAAGAAACCACUUUUUUAUAAGGGUGUUGACGGUACCAGAGGAAUAAGCACCGGCUAACUCCGUGCCAGCAGCCGCGGUAAUACGGAGGGUGCAAGCGUUAUCCGGAUUCACUGGGUUUAAAGGGUGCGUAGGUGGGAAUGUAAGUCAGUGGUGAAAUCUCCGUGCUUAACAUGGAAACUGCCAUUGAUACUAUGUUUCUUGAAUUUUCUGGAGGUAAGCGGAAUAUGUCAUGUAGCGGUGAAAUGCUUAGAUAUGACAUAGAACACCAAUUGCGAAGGCAGCUUGCUACAGGGAUAUUGACACUGAGGCACGAAAGCGUGGGGAUCAAAC